AUGGCUCAGUAACACGUGGCUAACCUACCCUCAGGACGGGGAUAAUCCCGGGAAACUGGGGCUAAUAUCCGAUAGGUGAGUAUGCCUGGAAUGGUUUCUCACUCAAAGGGCUUUAGGAACAUGCUUCUAAAGUCGCCUGGGGAUGGGGCCGCGACCGAUCAGGUUGUUGGUGAGGUAAUGGCUCACCAAGCCUAUAACCGGUACGGGCCGUGAGAGCGGUAGCCCGGAGAUGGGUACUGAGACAAGGACCCAGGCCCUACGGGGCGCAGCAGCCGCGAAAACUCCGCAAUGCACGAAAGUGUGACGGGGCUACCCCGAGUGCCGUCCGCUGAGGUUGGCUUUUCCUUGGUUUAACUAGCCAGGGGAAUAAGGAGAGGGCAAGACUGGUGUCAGCCGCCGCGGUAA
rnacentral:rRNA from 1 species